rnacentral:rRNA from 1 species
AGAAGCGAGAGGACGGUCCCUGCAGAAAAAGCCCCGGCUAAUUACGUGCCAGCAGCCGCGGUAAUACGUAGGGCGCAAGCGUUAUCCGGAAUUAUUGGGCGUAAAGAGCUCGUAGGCGGUCUGUCGCGUCUGCUGUGAAAUCUGGAGGCUCAACCUCCAGCCUGCAGUGGGUACGGGCAGACUAGAGUGCGGUAGGGGAGAUUGGAAUUCCUGGUGUAGCGGUGGAAUGCGCAGAUAUCAGGAGGAACACCGAUGGCGAAGGCAGAUCUCUGGGCCGUAACUGACGCUGAGGAGCGAAAGGGUGGGGAGCAAACAGGCUUAGAUACCCUGGUAGUCCACCCCGUAAACGUUGGGAACUAGUUGUGGGGUCCUUUCCACGGAUUCCGUGACGCAGCUAACGCAUUAAGUUCCCCGCCUGGGGAGUACGGCCGCAAGGCUAAAACUCAAAGGAAUUGACGGGGACCCGCACAAGCGGCGGAGCAUGCGGAUUAAUUCGAUGCAACGCGAAGAACCUUACCAAGGCUUGACAUACACGAGAACGGGCCAGAAAUGGUCAACUCUUUGGACACUCGUGAACAGGUGGUGCAUGGUUGUCGUCAGCUCGUGUCGUGAGAUGUUGGGUUAAGUCCCGCAACGAGCGCAACCCUCGUUCUAUGUUGCCAGCACGUAAUGGUGGGAACUCAUGGGAUACUGCCGGGGUCAACUCGGAGGAAGGUGGGGAUGACGUCAAAUCAUCAUGCCCCUUAUGUCUUGGGCUUCACGCAUGCUACAAUGGCCGGUACAAAGGGCUGCGAUACCGUAAGGUGGAGCGAAUCCCAAAAAGCCGGUCCCAGUUCGGAUUGAGGUCUGCAACUCGACCUCAUGAAGUCGGAGUCGCUAGUAAUCGCAGAUCAGCAACGCUGCGGUGAAUACGUUCCCGGGUCUUGUACACACCGCCCGUCAAGUCAUGAAAGUCGGUAACACCUGAAGCCGGUGGCCUAACCCCUUGUGGGAGGGAGCGUCGAAGGUAUUUC